rnacentral:rRNA from 1 species
AAGACCUUGCACUUUUGGAGCGGCCGAUGUCUGAUUAGCUAGUUGGUGUGGUAAUGGCCUACCAAAGCUUCGAUCAGUAGCUGGUCUGAGAGGACGGCCAGCCACACUGGGACUGAGACACGGCCCAGACUCCUACGGGAGGCAGCAGUGGGGAAUUUUGGACAAUGGGCGCAAGCCUGAUCCAGCCAUGCCGCGUGAGUGAAGAAGGCCUUCGGGUUGUAAAGCUCUUUCAGCCGGGAAGAAAAGGUUGCGACUAAUAAUCGCAAUCCAUGACGGUACCGAAAGAAGAAGCACCGGCUAACUACGUGCCAGCAGCCGCGGUAAUACGUAGGGUGCGAGCGUUAAUCGGAAUUACUGGGCGUAAAGGGUGCGCAGGCGGUUUUGUAAGUCAGAUGUGAAAUCCCCGGGCUUAACCUGGGAACU